rnacentral:tRNA from 1 species
UCCGAGCUCGGCCGGGGAGCCGCGCUGCGGGUGGUGCUGGAGGCACCGUCCGGCGGGGUGGACGACCCGGCGCCCGGACGCGGCCGGCUGCUCGGGCCC